GAGGAAUAUUGGUCAAUGGACGGAAGUCUGAACCAGCCAAGUAGCGUGCAGGAUGACGGCCCUAUGGGUUGUAAACUGCUUUUGUAUGGGGAUAAAGUUAGGGACGUGUCCCUAUUUGCAGGUACCAUACGAAUAAGGACCGGCUAAUUCCGUGCCAGCAGCCGCGGUAAUACGGAAGGUCCAGGCGUUAUCCGGAUUUAUUGGGUUUGAAGGGAGCGUAGGCUGGAGAUUAAGUGUGUUGUGAAAUGUAGACGCUCAACGUCUGAAUUGCAGCGCAUACUGGUUUCCUUGAGUACGCACAACGUUGGCGGAAUUCGUCGUGUAGCGGUGAAAUGCUUAGAUAUGACGAAGAACUCCGAUUGCGAAGGCAGCUGACGGGAGCGCAACUGACGCUUAAGCUCGAAGGUGCGGGUAUCAAACAGGAUUAGAUACCCUGGUAGUCCGCACAGUAAACGAUGGAUGCCCGCUGUUGGUACCUGGUAUCAGCGGCUAAGCGAAAGCAUUAAGCAUCCCACCUGGGGAGUACGCCGGCAACGGUG
rnacentral:rRNA from 1 species